UGUGACUCAUCUGGAGGAACAGCUCUGGCCCAGCGGUCACCCCAGGCUUGUUUGUGUCUAGUUUCUCGGGGCAAACGGGCCCCUUAUUUUCACUGUAAGGUUUAGGGUUUCCCCUAGAGCUGGAGGGGAGCCCGGCCAGGAUGUUUUGCAUAAGUGCGGAAAGACUUGGAGAUGGAAGUAAGAGCACAGACGCAAGGAGACAAUCACUGUGCCUUGGUCCUCGAGAAAGUCGCUGUCAUCCGUGACCCGCCCCCGUUGCUUGGAUGAAAGUUCGCUCUGCCGGCCUCAGAGAGUCUGCGGCUUCCCCGGGACGGUGCCCUGCGCACGGCGAGGGGCCGCGGCACCUGCUUAGACAGCAGGACCCUCUUACGCAGCCUCCAGCCGACCACCUCGCCAGACUGAGGGAGGCCCCGGGCCCCGCGGCGAGCGCGGCGUCCGGGAUGCACCACAGCCGGAGGCCAGCAGGCGCGUCCGUCUCCCGGGCACAUCUGCUCCCGUCGCUUGAGUUCUGUGUGCUUGUCAAGCGCUACUCCUUCUUGUUCGCACCCUGUUCCUGUGACUAAUUAAACAGCGCGAUUGUUACUUCGCAACACAAGGGAACAAGCGAGAGACCGCUUGUUUCUUCACCAGCCAGGCUGGGUGCUUGAGGGAGAUCAACACCGGGGUGGCCGGACGGCUUCCUGGCGAGUCAAGUGUCAGGGACACAACUGUAAGGGCGAGAGAAGCAGGCCGGCAAAAUUGGAUCUGAGCGCUCAGGCUCUCAUGCCGACUCCACCCAAAAGAAGCGGGGAGCAUACAUUGCGGACCACACUAGGUGGAUGGGGUUUGCUUGGCAAAGACAACGACGGGGUCCCAUCAGCCAGCCCAGACGGUCUCCCACUGUCCGUGGCCGUCCGGGCCGGGUCCGUCGGGUCCAAGAGAACCGGUCCUGAGCCCUGAAGCCUCUCAGUGAGCUGGAAGGGGAGACCGCCAGGGCUGGCUCAAGCCGUGUGGUCAGGGCGAGCCCCCCGGAGCUGGGAGAGGCUUCGUGGUCGUCGGGCCCAGGCCCUUCCUGCGCUGGCAUGUCCACCACAGCCCCACCGCCAGGCUCCCCGUGAGGCCUGCAGGGACUCCCACCACGGAGCCCGGAGCCUAACUCGUUUUGCAUCUGCUCUGGUACACAUGCUUGGCGCACUUUCUCUCCCCUUUCUGUACUCCCUGAAGGGCCUGCCUUCGCUUCCAGGUGAGUGAGCUCCAGUGCUCACCUCCAGUGAAGAGGCGAGCAGGCCCGGAUGGAAGCCAGCACUGCAGUGUGAGUCAGGCCCUGUCGUCCCCGGGCAUCGGCCUUCCCAGCAACAGGCACAGGGUCUUCCCCCUGCGGGUGAGUCUUGGUUUCUUCCUACGCGUUCCCGCCUCUCCAGCCCCUUCUUCCAAAAGAUCAACACUUGGCCCCACUUCAGCAGAUUCCUGGCAAGAUUCCACCUGACCGUUGCUCAAGUUUAUAGGGGAAAACACUGUCCUGUGGAUCGAGACAAAGGCUAACCCUGGCACCUUCUAACGCGGAGACCUCGGGCCGGAUCCUUGACCUUCCCUGAGGGCUGUGGUUUCUCAUUUGUGCAACGGGAAGUAAAAUAGCUUAUUAUGAUGGUU